UCACCAGAAAGGGGCUGGGCCUGGCUGGCUUUGUGGCGGUGAAGCGCACUCGGAAAAACCUGCAAUGUUUAGGGGCCAAAAAAAUGGCUUCAGGCUGUCCCAGUUGGGUGGGCAUUGCAACCACAAAGCUAGAGGUUGAUCUGCUUAAUGAUUUGGGGAAAUUACUAAACUCUGAUUUUGUUGGCCAGAUAGUAGUUAUUUCCCAAUAACACACUUGGCCUGGCAACUGAACGUUUGUUUUCAUUUUUUAUUACUUGGAUUUUUUAUACCACCUUUAUUAUUUCUCUAAAUAGCUCAAGGCAGUGAACAUAUCUAAGAUUUCUUCAUCCCCAAGAGAACAACCUUGUGAAGGCUGAGAGAAGGACUGGAUCAAGGUCACUCACUGGGCUUUCAUGGUUGAGAUGGGACUCGUAGUUAAGGCAACAAUGAAAAGGAAGUAGACAACAGAAGCCUUGAGCUGAAAGGGACCUUGUCAGCAACAAGGAAGAAAUGGUCGUACAGCCAAUAUCCUUGGAUGAUCUCUCAGCGACCACUGAUGGUCCCAACUUCCAGGUUGAUGAACUGAGAGACUCCUUUGACUUUCAGACCCAGAAAUUCCAGAAAGAUAAUCAGUGGAUGAAAGAUCAGCACAGCUAUCUCCAGGAGAAAGUGGAUCAACUUAAGACCACAACAGACGAUUUGCAGAAGAUCAUGCCAUCAGUUAGAGCUAGAGAACAAAUCUUUGGUGAAAUACAUUAAAGAACUCUAAAAAGAACUGCAUGAGGUUACUUAGCCAAGUGUCCAUCUCCAGUAAGAGAAGGCUGACUGAGAAAAACCUCAAAGAGGCGAGGAACUUUCUGCCAGACAUUAAGAAGCACCUCCAGAGUCUGCAACAUGAAGUGGCUGAGAUGGACCACAGUUACCAUGUGCAGAAAAACCACUACAGCCAACUGAGAAAGUCACCCCUCUUCAGAAGAUGAGGGAAAACAAGAAGAAGCACCUCAAAAGUCUGCAGCAGCCGCAUCUGAGAUCCCAGAUCCAGCUCUGGCCAGACUCACCUGGCACACAAGGUAGCAAGUCCCCCCACUCAUCACCUCCCAGGUACACCAGAUAGGAA